GGAAAUUAAAACAACAUACGUUAAAAUCUCAGGCCAAAAAUCAAGCUAUGACUGUGCUAUUUACGUUAUGAAGUGGCUUGAGUUAAUUGAGCCGAAAAACAUUAAAAGGGCGAAGUAUGAAUAGGAUAAUUGG